rnacentral:rRNA from 1 species
UACGUAGGGGGCUAGCGUUGUCCGGAAUCAUUGGGCGUAAAGCGCGCGUAGGCGGCCAGAUAAGUCCGGUGUGAAAGUCACAGGCUCAACCUGUGAAUGCCGCUGGAAACUGUCUGGCUAGAGUCCGGAAGGGGCGAGUGGAAUUCCUGGUGUAGGCGGUGAAAUGCGCAGAUAUCAGGAGGAACACCAAUGGCGAAGGCAGCUCGCUGGAACGGUACUGACGCUGAGGCGCGAAAGCGUGGGGAGCGAACAGGAUUAG